rnacentral:tRNA from 1 species
GCACCCGUAGCUUAACUGGAUUGAGCAUCGGGUUCCGAACCCGAAGGUUGGAGGUUCAAAUCCUCUCGGGCGCA